rnacentral:rRNA from 1 species
GCGGUGAAUACGUUCCCGGGCCUUGUACACACCGCCCGUCACACCACGAGAGUUUGUAACACCCGAAGUCGGUGAGGUAACCUUUUUGGAGCCAGCCGCCUAAGGUGGGAUAGAUGAUUGGGGUGAAGUCGUAACAAGGUAGCCGUAUCGGAAGGUGCGGCUGGAUCACCUCCUUUCUAAGGAA